GAUGAACGCUGGCUACAGGCUUAACACAUGCAAGUCGAGGGGAAACGACGGGGAAGCUUGCUUCCUCGGGCGUCGACCGGCGCACGGGUGAGUAACGCGUAUCCAACCUGCCUCUGAAUGAGGGAUAACCCGUCGCAAGUCGGCCUAAUACCCCAUGGCAUCGUCUGCGGGCAUCCAACGACGAUUACAGACUUCUUCGGUCAGAUAGGAGUAUGCGUCUGAUUAGGUAGUUGGCGGAGUAACGGCCGACCAAGGCGACGACCAGUAGGGGUUCUGAGAGGAAGGUCCCCCACAUUGGAGAUAAGACACGGUCCAAACUGCUACGGGAGGGAGCAGAGAAGAAUAUUGGUCAAUGAGCGAGAACCUGAACAAGCCGAGUAGCGUGAGAGAGGACGGCCCUAUGGGUUGUAAACAGCUUUUAUGCGGGGAUAAAGUGAGGGACGUGUCCUUCAUUGCAGGUACCGAAUGAAUAAGGACCGGCUAAUUCCGUG
rnacentral:rRNA from 1 species